UACGGGGGGAGCAAGCGUUGUUCGGAUUCACUGGGCGUAAAGGGUGCGUAGGUGGUGAGGAAAGUCGGAUGUGAAAUCUCCAAGCUCAACUUGGAAAUGGCAUUGGAAACUACCUUGCUGGAGGUUUGGAGGGGGGACUGGAAUACUUGGUGUAGCAGUGAAAUGCGUAGAUAUCAAGUGGAACACCAGUGGCGAAGGCGAGUCCCUGGACAACACCUGACACUGAGGCACGAAAGCUAGGGGAGCAAACAGG
rnacentral:rRNA from 1 species